UACGGAGGGGGCUAGCGUUGUUCGGAAUUACUGGGCGUAAAGCGCACGUAGGCGGACUUGUAAGUCAGGGGUGAAAUCCCGGGGCUCAACCUCGGAACUGCCUUUGAUACUGCAAGUCUCGAGUCCGGAAGAGGUGAGUGGAAUUCCUAGUGUAGAGGUGAAAUUCGUAGAUAUUAGGAAGAACACCAGUGGCGAAGGCGGCUUCCUGGUCCAGUACCGACGUUCAGGCACGAAAGCGUGGGGAGCAAACAGG
rnacentral:rRNA from 1 species